UAUUCUGCCCCACGGGGAAGGAUGAGAAGCUUCGACUAAGGUUCGACUCGAGCGAAGCGAGAGAACGUUGCCGCAGGCAACGGCCCGAAGGGCGAGGAGCGAUAGCGACGAGUUAUCCUUCCCCCACCACUG
rnacentral:sRNA from 2 species